AUGGUGAAGUUUACAGCGGAGGAGCUCCGCGGAAUUAUGGACAAGAAAAAUAAUAUUCGUAACAUGUCUGUUAUUGCUCAUGUCGACCACGGCAAGUCUACGCUUACGGAUUCCCUUGUGGCAGCUGCUGGGAUUAUCGCCCAGGAAGUUGCUGGGGAUGUUCGCAUGACUGAUACCCGUGCAGAUGAGGCAGAGCGUGGUAUUACAAUCAAAUCCACGGGUAUCUCUCUUUUCUAUCAGAUGACUCCUGAAUCACUCGAGAUGUACAAGGGCGACAGGGAUGGUGAUGAGUACCUGAUCAACCUUAUUGAUUCACCUGGCCACGUUGACUUUUCUUCAGAAGUCACAGCUGCUCUUCGUAUCACUGAUGGUGCCUUGGUUGUUGUUGACUGUAUUGAGGGUGUCUGUGUGCAGACUGAAACUGUGCUGCGCCAAGCUCUUGGUGAGAGGAUUAGGCCUGUCCUUACUGUGAACAAGAUGGACAGAUGCUUUCUUGAGCUUCAGUUUGAAGGUGAGGAAGCAUACCAGACUUUCUCCCGUGUCAUUGAAAAUGCCAAUGUCAUCAUGGCAACAUAUGAAGAUGUGCUCCUUGGUGAUGUCCAAGUGUACCCAGAGAAGGGUACUGUUGCAUUCUCUGCUGGUUUGCAUGGAUGGGCUUUCACCCUUACAAACUUUGCUAAGAUGUAUGCCUCCAAGUUUGGUGUUGAUGAGGUGAAGAUGAUGGAGAGGCUGUGGGGUGAGAACUUCUUUGACCCAGCCACAAAGAAAUGGACCUCCAAGAACACUGGCACAGCUACCUGCAAGAGAGGUUUUGUUCAGUUCUGCUACGAGCCAAUCAAGCAAAUCAUAGCCACCUGCAUGAAUGAUCAGAAGGAUAAGUUGUGGCCUAUGUUGAAGAAGCUUGGUGUGACGAUGAAGAAUGAUGAGAAGGACUUGAUGGGCAAGGCUCUCAUGAAGCGUGUGAUGCAAACUUGGCUGCCUGCCAGUCGUGCUCUGCUUGAGAUGAUGAUAUUUCACCUCCCCUCUCCCUCGAAGGCACAGAGGUAUCGUGUGGAGAACUUGUACGAGGGUCCCCUUGAUGAUAUAUAUGCUAAUGCUAUCAGAAACUGCGACCCUGAUGGUCCUCUUAUGCUGUAUGUCUCCAAGAUGAUUCCAGCAUCUGACAAGGGUAGAUUCUUUGCCUUUGGACGCGUUUUUGCCGGGAGGGUCGCAACUGGCAUGAAGGUCCGUAUCAUGGGUCCCAACUUUGUUCCUGGCCAGAAGAAGGAUCUAUAUGUGAAGAGUGUCCAGCGGACUGUUAUCUGGAUGGGAAAGAAGCAAGAGUCUGUUGAGGAUGUUCCCUGUGGUAACACUGUUGCUUUGGUUGGUUUGGAUCAGUUCAUCACCAAGAAUGCAACCCUGACAAAUGAGAAGGAAGUUGAUGCCUGCCCAAUCAGGGCUAUGAAGUUCUCUGUGUCCCCUGUUGUGCGUGUUGCCGUUCAGUGCAAGGUGGCAUCUGAUCUUCCUAAGCUUGUUGAGGGUUUGAAGCGUCUGGCCAAGUCUGAUCCUAUGGUUCUCUGUACCAUUGAAGAGUCUGGUGAGCAUAUCAUUGCUGGAGCUGGAGAGCUUCAUCUUGAAAUCUGUCUGAAGGAUCUGCAGGAUGACUUCAUGGGUGGUGCUGAAAUUAUUGUUUCCCCUCCUGUUGUUUCCUUCCGUGAGACUGUUCUGGAGAAGUCCUGCCGCACUGUCAUGAGCAAGUCCCCCAACAAGCAUAACCGUCUUUACAUGGAAGCUCGCCCAUUGGAGGAGGGAUUGGCUGAGGCUAUCGAUGAUGGCCGCAUUGGCCCGCGUGAUGAUCCCAAGGUGCGGUCCAAGAUCCUAUCUGAGGAGUUUGGUUGGGACAAGGAUCUCGCCAAGAAGAUUUGGUGCUUUGGACCUGAGACGACUGGCCCCAACAUGGUUGUUGACAUGUGUAAGGGAGUGCAGUAUCUGAAUGAAAUCAAGGACUCUGUUGUGGCUGGGUUCCAGUGGGCAUCAAAAGAGGGAGCAUUGUGUGAGGAGAACAUGCGUGGCAUCUGCUACGAGGUCUGUGAUGUUGUUCUCCACACUGAUGCUAUUCACAGGGGUGGUGGUCAGGUUAUCCCAACGGCGAGGAGGGUCAUUUACGCUUCUCAGCUCACCGCCAAGCCAAGGCUGCUGGAGCCCGUGUACCUGGUUGAGAUCCAGGCCCCCGAGAACGCACUUGGUGGUAUCUAUGGUGUGCUGAAUCAGAAGAGAGGCCACGUGUUCGAGGAGAUGCAGAGGCAAGGUACCCCACUGUACAACAUCAAGGCCUACCUGCCUGUCAUCGAGUCCUUCGGGUUCUCGAGCACCCUGAGGGCUGCGACGUCCGGCCAGGCCUUCCCCCAGUGUGUGUUUGACCACUGGGACAUCAUGGCCUCCGAUCCUUUGGACCCUGGCACCCAGUCGGCGACGCUCGUGACGGAGAUCCGCAAGAGGAAGGGUCUCAAGGAGCAGAUGACUCCCCUAUCCGAUUUCGAGGACAAGCUCUAA
rnacentral:rRNA from 1 species